rnacentral:rRNA from 1 species
GAUGAACGCUGGCGGCGUGCCUAAUACAUGCAAGUCGAGCGAACAGACGAGGAGCUUGCUCCUCUGACGUUAGCGGCGGACGGGUGAGUAACACGUGGAUAACCUACCUAUAAGACUGGGAUAACUUCGGGAAACCGGAGCUAAUACCGGAUAAUAUAUUGAACCGCAUGGUUCAAUAGUGAAAGACGGUUUUGCUGUCACUUAUAGAUGGAUCCGCGCCGCAUUAGCUAGUUGGUAAGGUAACGGCUUACCAAGGCAACGAGGCGUAGCCGACCUGAGAGGGUGAUCGGCCACACUGGAACUGAGACACGGUCAAGACGCCUACGGGAGGCAGCAGUAGGGAAUCUGACGCAAUGGGCGAAAGCUUGACGGAGCAACACCGAGUGAGUGAUGAAGGUCUUCGGUUCGUAAAACUCUGUUAUUAGGGAAGAACAAAUGUGUAAGUAACUAUGCACGUCUUGACGGUAACUAAUCAGAAAGCCACGGCUAACUACGUG